rnacentral:sRNA from 1 species
UUCCUCCUGCGGUGUUCGAGGCGAACCUGGAAGACUUUCGACCCUAAAUAACAGUACCGGGAUCAAUAGUCUGUCGGCAGCUUUGUGCAAGACCGCUUUAUGCGGAUAGCCUGCCCUGCCACGGCUGAUCCCACCUUUCUCUCUGGUUCGAGGGCGACGGUUCAAAACGACACAUGCGGGAGGCGC